GAUGAACGCUAGCUACAGGCUUAACACAUGCAAGUCGAGGGGAAACGAUAGAGAAAGCUUGCUUUUUCUAGGCGUCGACCGGCGCACGGGUGAGUAACGCGUAUCCAACCUGCCCAUCACUUGGGGAUAACCUUGCGAAAGUAAGACUAAUACCCAAUGACGUCUCUAGAAGACAUCUGAAAGGGAUUAAAGAUUUAUCGGUGAUGGAUGGGGAUGCGUCUGAUUAGCUUGUUGGCGGGGUAACGGCCCACCAAGGCGACGAUCAGUAGGGGUUCUGAGAGGAAGGUCCCCCACAUUGGAACUGAGACACGUUCCAAACUCCUACGGGAGGCAGCAGUGAGGAAUAUUGGUCAAUGGACGAGAGUCUGAACCAGCCAAGUAGCGUGCAGGAUGACGGCCCUAUGGGUUGUAAACUGCUUUUAUAAGGGAAUAAAGUGAGAGUCGUGACUCUUUUUGCAUGUACCUUAUGAAUAAGGACCGGCUAAUUCCGUGCCAGCAGCCGCGUUAA
rnacentral:rRNA from 1 species